rnacentral:rRNA from 1 species
GAGCCGAAGCGAAAGCGAGUCUGAACAGGGCGCCAAGUCGGGGGGGGUAGACGCGAAACCGAGUGAUCUACCCUUGGCCAGGUUGAAGGUUGGGUAACACCAACUGGAGGACCGGAUGGGUAAGCGUUGAAAAGCUUUCCAAUGAGCUGAGGGUAGGGGUGAAAGGCUAAUCAAACUCGGAGAUAGCUCGUACUCCCCGAAAUGCAUUUAGGUGCAGCCUCUGUUGUUUUGUUCUAGAGGUAGAGCGACUGAUUGGAUGCGAGGGCUUCACCGCCUAUCAAGUCUUGACAAACUCCGAAUGCGUGUCAGUUCUAUGUCAGGAGUGAGGGCAUGGGUGCUAAGGUCCAUGUCCUAAAGGAGAACAAUCCGGACCAACAGCUAAGGUCCCGAAAUGAAUACUAAGUUGAACUAACGAAGUCGGAUCGCAGAGACAGCUAGGAUGUUGGCUUGGAAGCAGCCAUUCAUUUAAAGAGUGCGUAACAGCUCACUAGUCGAGGAGUUUGGCGUGGAUAAUAAUCGGGCAUAAGUAUUCUACCGAAGCUUUGGGAUGAGAAAUCAUCGGUAGGGGAGCAUUCCACUCGGCGUCGAAGGUGAGGCGCGAGCUUUGCUGGAGCGUGUGGAAAAGCAAAUGUAGGUAUAAGUAACGAUAAAGGGGGUGGGAAACCCCCUCGCCGAAAGACUAAGGUUUCCUGAUCAACGCUAAUCGGAUCAGGGUAAGUCGGGUCCUAAGGCUCAGCCGAACGGCGAGGCCGAUGGCAGAACCGGUUAAUAUUCCGGUACUACCUGUGGGAGUGACGUGGAGACGGAGUCGUGACAGCGCCGCGGACUGACGGAAUAGUCCGUUGAAGGGUGUAGAUGUUGAUUGUGGCAGGCAAAUCCGGAGCAAGAGUCGAACCUGAUAGUAUGGAGCGUUCUUAGAACAAUCCAAUAGUGCGUGUAAUCAUACUUCCAAGAAAAUCCGCUAAACUUAUCCAUGCGGCACCCGUACCGUAAACGGACACACGUGGUCGGGUUGAGAAUACUGAGGCGCUUGAGUGAUUCACGGUUAAGGAACUAGGCAAAUUGACCCUGUAACUUCGGGAUAAAGGGUCCUCGUCGUAAGGCGAGGCGCAGAGAAUAGGUCCAGGCAACUGUUUAACAAAAACACAGGGCUGUGCAAAAUUGAAAGAUGAAGUAUACAGCCUGACACCUGCCCGGUGCUGGAAGGUUAAGAGGAGAUGUCAUCGCGAGAGAAGCGUUGAAUUGAAGCCCCAGUAAACGGCGGCCGUAACUAUAACGGUCCUAAGGUAGCGAAAUUCCUUGUCGGGUAAGUUCCGACCUGCACGAAUGGUGUAAUGAUCUGGACACUGUCUCAACCGUGAGCUCGGUGAAAUUGUAGUAUCGGUGAAGAUGCCGAUUACCCGCGAUGGGACGAAAAGACCCCGUGAACCUUUACUAUAGCUUAACAUUGAAUUUGGGUAAUUGAUGUGUAGGAUAGGCCGGAGGCUUCGAAGCGGGCACGCCAGUGUCCGUGGAGCCGCUGUUGAAAUACGGCCCUUUGAUUAUUUGAGUUCUAACCCGUUGUUGCGGGGACACUGUAUGGUGGGUAGUUUGACUGGGGUGGUCGCCUCCAAAAGCGUAACGGAGGCUUCUAAAGGUGCCCUCAGACCGAUUGGUAACCGGUCGCAGAGUGUAAUGGCAUAAGGGCGCUUGACUGGGAGACAUACAAGUCGAUCAGGUAGGAAACUAGAGCAUAGUGAUCCGGUGGUUCCGCAUGGAAGGGCCAUCGCUCAAAGGAUAAAAGGUACUCCGGGGAUAACAGGCUGAUCACUCCCAAGAGCUCAUAUCGACGGAAUGGUUUGGCACCUCGAUGUCGGCUCGUCACAUCCUGGGGCUGGAGAAGGUCCCAAGGGUUGGGCUGUUCGCCCAUUAAAGUGGCACGCG